AGAUUGAACGCUGGCGGCAUGCUUUACACAUGCAAGUCGAACGGUGACAGGCCGCAAGGUGCUGACGAGUGGCGAACGGGUGAGUAAUGCAUCGGAACGUGCCCAGUCGUGGGGGAUAACGCAGCGAAAGCUAGUGCUAAUACCGCAUACGAUCUAUGGAUGAAAGCGGGGACCGAAAGGCCUCGCGCAUUGGAGCGGCGAGUGUCAGAUUAGCUAGUUGGUGGGUAAAGGCCCACGAAGGCGACGAUCUGUAGCUGGUCUGAGAGGACGACCAGCCACACGUGGAACUGAGACACGGUCCAGACGUCCGUAACGGGAGG
rnacentral:rRNA from 1 species